rnacentral:tRNA from 1 species
GCCGGGAUGGUGGAAUCGGCAGACACAAGGGACUUAAAAUCCCUUGAGGCUCACGCCUCGUGCGGGUUCGAGUCCCGCUCCCGGCACCA